AACGAACGCUGGCGGCAGGCCUAAAACAUGCAAGUCGAACGGGUGUAGCAAUACAUCAGUGGCGCACGGGUGAGUAACGCGUGGGAACGUGCCCUUCAGUACGGGACAACGUCGGGAAACUGACGCUAAUACCGUAUAAUGACUCCGGUCCAAAGAUUUAUCGCUGAAGGAGCGGCCCGCGUCUGAUUAGCUAGUUGGUGAGGUAAUGGCUCACCAAGGCUACGAUCAGUAGCAGGUCUGAGAGGAUGAUCUGCCACACUGGGACUGAGACACGGCCCAGACUCCUACGGGAGGCAGCAGUUAGGAAUAUUGGACAAUGGGCGAAAGCCUGAUCCAGCCAUGCCGCGUGUGUGAUGAAGGCCCUAGGGUUGUAAAGCACUUUCGUUGGGGAUGAUAAUGACGUACCCAAAGAAGAAGCACCGGCUAACUUCGUGCCAGCAGCCGCGGUAAUGUACAGUGU
rnacentral:rRNA from 1 species